AUGGCGACGGCGGAGAACAAGAGGCCACGGAGCAGCGGCGGCGGCGUGGAGAGGCCGCUCAGUAGGAAGGAGAUACUGGGGAGGAAGAAGGCCAUCAAAGAACUUAUAAGGAAAGCUGUAGCUGUGAAGGAUCAUCUUGCGCGAUUCCCGGAUUUUCAUAAAUACGAGAGAAGCGGCAAUGUUCCAUUCGGAAUUUCGGAUUCACGGCACCUACUGUCUUUCCUGUAUUCAGCUCUAGAAAUUCAAUGUUUUUCAAUCUACUUGGAAUCUGGGCAUGGCAAUCAGCUUCCGGCUAACAUGGAGGGAACUUAUGGAUCAGAAUGGCCUUCAGAAGAGAAAAUUAAGCGCCGGGAAAUGGUUGCCCCAGAAGCACGAUACAUCCUGACCUGCCAAUAUACAGACAAUGAUAUUGCCAAAUGUUUCAUGAAGCAAGAUUCAGGGGUGGAGUGUGCACAUGUGACAUGCCGUGGAGGCCGCUUGCUUGGUUUUGUACACUACAGAUUUAUUGUUGAAGAAGAUGUGCCUGUUCUUUAUGUGUAUGAGCUACAAUUGGAGUCUUCUGCCCAAGGGAAGGGGCUGAGUAAGUUCCUAAUGCAGUUGAUUGAACUUAUAGCUUGCAAGAGCCAAAUGUGGGCCGUGAUGCUGACAGUUCAAAAAUCUAAUACAGAUGCUAUGGUUUCUACAACAAUUUGGGGUAAAGUGAUAUGUAAUAUCCAAUACCUCGCCAUCACGAGUGGAUCCACUGGUAUUACUUUACCAAGAAAAAUAGUCUCCACAAGAACAAGAUAUUCGUAUGUUGACUCCUUCAUUUCUCAUAGAUUGGAAUUCAUAGAAGCUAUGAGAUCUUGUGCAAGACAUUUGAAUCUGAAGCCAAGUGCAAAUUGGAGGCCUAUGAUGUAUGAACGUGUAGAGUAG
rnacentral:rRNA from 1 species